rnacentral:rRNA from 1 species
AACAAACGCUGGCGGCGUGCCUAAUACAUGCAAGUCGAACGGGGUAGUAAUACCUAGUGGCGCACGGGUGAGGAACGCGUGGAUAAUCUGCCUUAGAGUGGGGGAUAACUAGUCGAAAGAUUAGCUAAUACCGCAUAAGACCACAGGAGCUGCGGCUCUAGGGGUCAAAGGUUUUUCGCUCUAAGAUGAGUCCGCGUAAGAUUAGCUAGUUGGUGAGGUAACGGCUCACCAAGGUGACGAUCUUUAACUGGUCUGAGAGGAUGAUCAGUCACACUGGAACUGAGACACGGUCCAGCCUCCUACGGGAGGCAGCAGUAGGGAAUAUUGCACAAUGGAGGAAACUCUGAUGCAGCGACGCCGCGUGAGUGAUGAAGGCCUUCGGGUCGUAAAGCUCUGUCGCAGGGGAAUAACACAAUGAAUGUACCCUGUAAGAAAGGAUCGGCUAACUUCGUGCCAGCCGCCGCUGUAAGAC